rnacentral:rRNA from 1 species
UACGUAUGGAGCAAGCGUUAUCCGGAUUUACUGGGCGUAAAGGGAGCGUAGGCGGCCUGCCAAGUCUGAUGUGAAAUACCGGGGCUCAACCCCGGGGCUGCAUUGGAAACUGGCAGGCUGGAGUGCCGGAGAGGCAGGCGGAAUUCCUAGUGUAGCGGUGAAAUGCGUAGAUAUCACGCAGAACUCCGAUUGCGAAGGCAGCUUACUAAGCCAUAACUGACACUGAAGCACGAAAGCGUGGGGAUCAAACAGG